AACGAACGCUGGCGGCAUGCCUAACACAUGCAAGUCGAACGAACCCUUCGGGGUUAGUGGCGCACGGGUGCGUAACGCGUGGGAAUCUGCCCUUGGCUUCGGAAUAACAGUUAGAAAUGACUGCUAAUACCGGAUGAUGUCUUCGGACCAAAGAUUUAUCGGCCAGGGAUGAGCCCGCGUAGGAUUAGGUAGUUGGUGGGGUAAAGGCCUACCAAGCCGACGAUCCUUAGCUGGUCUGAGAGGAUGAUCAGCCACACUGGGACUGAGACACGGCCCAGACUCCUACGGGAGGCAGCAGUGGGGAAUAUUGGACAAUGGGCGCAAGUCUGAUCCAGCAAUGCCGCGUGAGUGAUGAAGGCCCUCGGGUCGUAAAGCUCUUUUACCCGGGAUGAUAAUGACAGUACCGGGAGAAUAAGCCCCGGCUAACUCCGUGCCAGCCGCCGCGGUAA
rnacentral:rRNA from 1 species